rnacentral:rRNA from 1 species
AUGGGUGGCCUGAUUGAGCGCCUUAAUGGGCCGUUCUUGUGUACGAGAGAGGGAUUCAAGGGGGAAAGGGUCGGGCAGUUCUAUUUCGACAGGGAAGAGGAUGCAACGUCUUCUUUGACGGGGGCAAUUCUCUGUACAUAUGUCAAACUCUCAGCUUCUCAAUUUGGUGGAGUUGGGCUUUCCCAGCUUCGCAGUUUUACACUACGGUCAGCUACAGCUUCUCAGAUCCAGCUUCUUGGUGCUAAAACGUUAGGCUCGACUCCAACUUUAGAGUUUGUGGAGUUGGCAGCUGGAGGACAUCAAAACAUGCCCAUAGGGAGUAAAAAAAGUAUGAAAACCAAUAACACCAACGACGCAGCAAAGCACGCCGUACCCUUCUAUUAUCUCUACUACAUAGUACACAAAUUUUUGAACAUGGACUCGUCGCCCGCCAUGAUGUAG